UCGCUAACGAGGACGCCAUCCACGGU
rnacentral:piRNA from 1 species